AGCAGAAUAGUUCAGUUGGAUACCUUCGAGUUAGAGCAUCUCACAUGUAAUGAGAAGGUUGCAGGUUCAAAUCCUGCUUCAGCCA